AUUGAACGCUGGCGGCAGGCCUAACACAUGCAAGUCGAGCGGAUGAAGGGAGCUUGCUCCUGGAUUCAGCGGCGGACGGGUGAGUAAUGCCUAGGAAUCUGCCUGGUAGUGGGGGAUAACGUCCGGAAACGGGCGCUAAUACCGCAUACGUCCUGAGGGAGAAAGUGGGGGAUCUUCGGACCUCACGCUAUCAGAUGAGCCUAGGUCGGAUUAGCUAGUUGGUGGGGUAAAGGCCUACCAAGGCGACGAUCCGUAACUGGUCUGAGAGGAUGAUCAGUCACACUAGAACUGAGACACGGUCCAGACUCCUACGGGGGGCAGCGGUGGGGAAUAUUGGACAAUGGGCGAAAGCCUGAUCCAGCCAUGCCGCGUGUGUGAAGAAGGUCUUCGGAUUGUAAAGCACUUUAAGUUGGGAGGAAGGGCAGUAAGUUAAUACCUUGCUGUUUUGACGUUACCAACAGAAUAAGCACCGGCUAACUUCGUG
rnacentral:rRNA from 1 species